UGAUCGAAACCACGGAUGUCCAGAUCAAGAGCUAUGUAAAACAACGAAAGAGAAGACGUACGUGCAAAUCCAAGUCGUGGUAUUAACCAUGAAAAAACGAGAGCUAGAGGGAAAACUAGUCAUUGUGUUGGAUUGAAUUGAAAAUUUUACAAACGGAACGAUGAAUUAGUGAUCGUAUUUCCAUGAGGCGCCGACGUCGUCGGCGGCACAGGUACCGGAAUCAGCACAAGCGGCGGCGGUGGAUAGCGGGAGGCGGCGGAGAUGGGAUCUGUCGAGGUGGGGAUGAAAUGAGUGGGAAGUAAGCCAGCGGCGGUACAUGGGGCACUGACGAAGGGUAUGGCGGGGGUGGCGGCGGCGCGCAUAUGACGGGGCAAGAACCGAUACAGAGAAGGCUAACCGGAGGUACCACCUCGACUCAGACGCCGACGCCGACGCCGCCGCAGCUCCGGAGAGGUGAAAGAUCAGAAUAAUGAAAAGGGAAGAGAAAUGAAGGGUUUUUGGAGAAAUUCUCCAUGGAUGAAGCUUAAGAAGUAUAUCUUUUUUCCUCUAAUGACAAAAUUAAAGAUUAAAAUGUAAAAAGAAACAGUAAUCCCAAGCAAAGCUUGUUUCUAACCUUUCUGAAAGCAUAAUCAAUGUUUAUGUAGAUUAUUCCCCUCCUGUUCAUGCUUGCUUUAUACUGUUC